rnacentral:rRNA from 1 species
UACGUAGGCAGCCAGCGUUGUUCGGACUUACUGGGCGUAAAGGGUGCGUAGGCGGUUAUUUACGUUUGGUGUGAAAUCUCCCGGCUCAACCGGGAGGGUGCGCCGAAUACUGAAUGACUUGGAGUGCGGGAGAGGAAAGUGGAAUUCCUGGUGUAGCGGUGAAAUGCGUAGAUAUCAGGAGGAACACCGGUGGUGUAGACGGCUUUCUGGACCGUAACUGACGCUGAGACACGAAAGCGUGGGUAGCAAACAGG